GGGCGCUUAGCUCAGUUGGUUUAGAGCGUCUCGCUUACACCGAGAAGGUCCUUGGUUCGAAUCCAUGAGCGCCCA
rnacentral:tRNA from 1 species